rnacentral:rRNA from 1 species
UACGAAGGGGGCUAGCGUUGCUCGGAAUGACUGGGCGUAAAGGGAGCGUAGGUGGCCUUAUAAGUCAGUGGUGAAAUCUCUGGGCUUAACCCAGAAAUUGCCAUUGAUACUGUAGGGCUUGAGUAUAGUUGCCGUUGGCGGAAUAUGACAUGUAGUGGUGAAAUACAUAGAGAUGUCAUAGAACACCGAUUGCGAAGGCAGCUAACGAAACUAUAACUGACACUGAGGCUCGAAAGUGCGGGGAUCAAACAGG